rnacentral:rRNA from 2 species
AGCGUACACGGUGGAUGCCCUGGCAGUCAGAGGCGAUGAAGGACGUGCUAAUCUGCGAAAAGCGUCGGUAAGGUGAUAUGAACCGUUAUAACCGGCGAUGUCCGAAUGGGGAAACCCAGUGCAAUUCGUUGCACUAUCGUUAACUGAAUACAUAGGUUAACGAGGCGAACCGGGGGAACUGAAACAUCUAAGUACCCCGAGGAAAAGAAAUCAACCGAGAUUCCCCCAGUAGCGGCGAGCGAACGGGGAGCAGCCCAGAGUCUGAAUCAGCUUGUGUGUUAGUGGAACGGUCUGGAAAGUCCGACGGUACAGGGUGAUAGUCCCGUACACCAAAAUGCACAGGCUGUGAACUCGAAGAGUAGGGCGGGACACGUGGUAUCCUGUCUGAAUAUGGGGGGACCAUCCUCCAAGGCUAAAUACUCCUGACUGACCGAUAGUGAACCAGUACCGUGAGGGAAAGGCGAAAAGAACCCCGGCGAGGGGAGUGAAAAAGAACCUGAAACCGUGUACGUACAAGCAGUGGGAGCACCUUCGGGUGUGACUGCGUACCUUUUGUAUAAUGGGUCAGCGACUUAUAUUCUGUAGCAAGGUUAACCGUAUAGGGGAGCCGCAGGGAAACCGAGUCUUAACUGGGCGUUAAGUUGCAGGGUAUAGACCCGAAACCCGGUGAUCUAGCCAUGGGCAGGUUGAAGGUUGGGUAACACUAACUGGAGGACCGAACCGACUAAUGUUGAAAAAUUAGCGGAUGACUUGUGGCUGGGGGUGAAAGGCCAAUCAAACCGGGAGAUAGCUGGUUCUCCCCGAAAGCUAUUUAGGUAGCGCCUCGUGAACUCAUCUUCGGGGGUAGAGCACUGUUUCGGCUAGGGGGUCAUCCCGACUUACCAACCCGAUGCAAACUACGAAUACCGAAGAAUGUUAUCACGGGAGACACACGGCGGGUGCUAACGUCCGUCGUGAAGAGGGAAACAACCCAGACCGCCAGCUAAGGUCCCAAAGUCAUGGUUAAGUGGGAAACGAUGUGGGAAGGCACAGACAGCCAGGAUGUUGGCUUAGAAGCAGCCAUCAUUUAAAGAAAGCGUAAUAGCUCACUGGUCGAGUCGGCCUGCGCGGAAGAUGUAACGGGGCUAAACCAUGCACCGAAGCUGCGGCAGCGACACUAUGUGUUGUUGGGUAGGGGAGCGUUCUGUAAGCCUGCGAAGGUGUGCUGUGAGGCAUGCUGGAGGUAUCAGAAGUGCGAAUGCUGACAUAAGUAACGAUAAAGCGGGUGAAAAGCCCGCUCGCCGGAAGACCAAGGGUUCCUGUCCAACGUUAAUCGGGGCAGGGUGAGUCGACCCCUAAGGCGAGGCCGAAAGGCGUAGUCGAUGGGAAACAGGUUAAUAUUCCUGUACUUGGUGUUACUGCGAAGGGGGGACGGAGAAGGCUAUGUUAGCCGGGCGACGGUUGUCCCGGUUUAAGCAUGUAGGCUGGUUGUCCAGGCAAAUCCGGAUAAUCAAGGCUGAGGUGUGAUGACGAGGCACUACGGUGCUGAAGUAACAAAUGCCCUGCUUCCAGGAAAAGCCUCUAAGCAUCAGGUAACAUCAAAUCGUACCCCAAACCGACACAGGUGGUCAGGUAGAGAAUACCAAGGCGCUUGAGAGAACUCGGGUGAAGGAACUAGGCAAAAUGGUGCCGUAACUUCGGGAGAAGGCACGCUGGUGUGUAGGUGAAGUCCCUGCGGAUGGAGCUGAGACCAGUCGAAGAUACCAGCUGGCUGCAACUGUUUAUUAAAAACACAGCACUGUGCAAACACGAAAGUGGACGUAUACGGUGUGACGCCUGCCCGGUGCCGGAAGGUUAAUUGAUGGGGUUAUCCGUAAGGAGAAGCUCUUGAUCGAAGCCCCGGUAAACGGCGGCCGUAACUAUAACGGUCCUAAGGUAGCGAAAUUCCUUGUCGGGUAAGUUCCGACCUGCACGAAUGGCGUAAUGAUGGCCAGGCUGUCUCCACCCGAGACUCAGUGAAAUUGAACUCGCUGUGAAGAUGCAGUGUACCCGCGGCAAGACGGAAAGACCCCGUGAACCUUUACUAUAGCUUGACACUGAACAUUGAGCCUUGAUGUGUAGGAUAGGUGGGAGGCUUUGAAGCGUGGACGCCAGUCUGCGUGGAGCCAACCUUGAAAUACCACCCUUUAAUGUUUGAUGUUCUAACGUUGGCCCCUUACCGGGGUUGCGGACAGUGUCUGGUGGGUAGUUUGACUGGGGCGGUCUCCUCCCAAAGCGUAACGGAGGAGCACGAAGGUUAGCUAAUCCUGGUCGGACAUCAGGAGGUUAGUGCAAUGGCAUAAGCUAGCUUGACUGCGAGCGUGACGGCGCGAGCAGGUGCGAAAGCAGGUCAUAGUGAUCCGGUGGUUCUGAAUGGAAGGGCCAUCGCUCAACGGAUAAAAGGUACUCCGGGGAUAACAGGCUGAUACCGCCCAAGAGUUCAUAUCGACGGCGGUGUUUGGCACCUCGAUGUCGGCUCAUCACAUCCUGGGGCUGAAGUAGGUCCCAAGGGUAUGGCUGUUCGCCAUUUAAAGUGGUACGCGAGCUGGGUUUAGAACGUCGUGAGACAGUUCGGUCCCUAUCUGCCGUGGGCGCUGGAGAAUUGAGGGGGGCUGCUCCUAGUACGAGAGGACCGGAGUGGACGCAUCACUGGUGUUCGGGUUGUCAUGCCAAUGGCACUGCCCGGUAGCUAAAUGCGGAAGAGAUAAGUGCUGAAAGCAUCUAAGCACGAAACUUGCCCCGAGAUGAGUUCU